UUAUCUUCCAUCCUAAUGAUCUAUUAUUCACGUGUUGGAGUUUAGACGUCGAUUACUGACUCGGCCAAAGUUUCGUCCAGGAUAAAUAUCAAGAAACUUAAAGACACAUAAUUCCCCUUUGUAAUAGUUCGAAAACUUUAGUGUAGUGUUAAGACCUGGAAGUAUGGCCGCUGGAAUAAAUUACUGGAGGGAGGAUAUAUAUUCCUGCAUUAGUAAUAUAGAAAUCACCGUGAGUUAUGCUGCGUUAACUUCUCACUUGCGACUGGUGUUGAAUAGCUAGGAAGUGAUUGUUGAGCUGAUUGGACAUAUCGGAAUCCAUUUAAUUAUUGCUUCGAUUAUGACAGAAAUGAACUGAGGAGAAUAUGAAAUAACUUACCUCGCAGGUGGCCAGAGCGCACAGUCCAGCCAACACAGCCCAAGUCCACCUGACCAUCCGCACUCUGGCCAUACUCUCUUCGACCCGCGCCCUUAAUGGCUAAGCCAUCAUCAGUGGUUUUACAUGUAAUC